rnacentral:rRNA from 1 species
GAUGAACGCUGGCGGCGUGCCUAAUACAUGCAAGUCGAGCGAACGGACGAGAAGCUUGCUCCUCUGAUGUUAGCGGCGGACGGGUGAGUAACACGUGGAUAACCUACCUAUAAGACUGGGAUAACUUCGGGAAACCGGAGCUAAUACCGGAUAAUAUUUUGAACCGCAUGGUUCAAAAGUAAAAGACGGUCUUGCUGUCACUUAUAGAUGGAUCCGCGCUGCAUUAGCUAGUUGGUAAGGUAACGGCUUACCAAGGCAACGAUGCAUAGCCGACCUGAGAGGGUGAUCGGCCACACUGGAACUGAGACACGGUCCAGACUACUACGGGAGGCAGCAGUAGGGAAUCUUCCGCAAUGGGCGAAAGCCUGACGGAGCAACGCCGCGUGAGUGAUGAAGGUCUUCGGAUCGUAAAACUCUGUUAUUAGGGAAGAACAUAUGUGUAAGUAACUGUGCACAUCUUGACGGUACCUAAUCAGAAAGCCACGGCUAACUACGUG